rnacentral:RNase_P_RNA from 1 species
CAAGCAAGCUGGACAGCCGCGUGAACAGUGCCGAAAGGCCGUUCAUGAGGAAAGUCCGGGCUCCGUAGGGCAAGGAUAACGGAUAACAUCCGCCGGGGGCGACCCUAGGAAAAGUGCAACAGAGAAAUACCGCCUUGCCGGCCUUGUGCCGCGAGGUAAGGGUGGAAAGGCGAGGUAAGAGCUCACCCGAUGGCUGGAGACUGCCCAUCGCUGUAAACUCUAUCCGGAGCAACACCGUGGAGGGACAUAUGGCUGGCCCGGCCGUCCCAUGGAGGUGGCUGGAACGCGUUGGCAACGGCGCGUCUAGAUAGAUGGCUGUCUUAAAAGACAGAACCCGGCUUACAGGCUUACUUGCAAC